AGUGAACGCUGGCGGCAGGCCUAACACAUGCAAGUCGAGCGGCAGCGGGCUGUAGCAAUACAGUGCCGGCGAGCGGCGGACGGGUGAGGAAUACAUCGGAAUCUACCUUGUCGUGGGGGAUAACGUAGGGAAACUUACGCUAAUACCGCAUACGAACUACGGUUGAAAGCGGAGGACCGCAAGGCUUCGCGCGAUUGGAUGAGCCGAUGUCGGAUUAGCUAGUUGGCGGGGUAAUGGCCCACCAAGGCGACGAUCCGUAGCUGGUCUGAGAGGAUGAUCAGCCACACUGGAACUGAGACACGGUCCAGACUCCUACGGGAGGCAGCAGUGGGGAAUAUUGGACAAUGGGCGCAAGCCUGAUCCAGCCAUGCCGCGUGUGGGAAGAAGGCCUGGUUGUAACACUUUGUCUAGGGAAGAAACGGAC
rnacentral:rRNA from 1 species